rnacentral:rRNA from 1 species
CGAAUGGGGUGAUUCAUCGUCGACGAAGCUGGCUCCCGUUGGUGCGCGAUGCUCCGGAUGGAUCCUCGUGGUCCAUUAGCGAGGGCACGCCAUCUUCGGCUUGAAUGUUCCGGCAACGUAGUCGUGCACUUCUCCCCUAGUAGGACGUCGCGACCCGUUGUGUGUCGGUCUACGGUCCGAGUGGGCGCCUGUCGCGUCGCUUCUUGCGCACGUGGCAGACCCUCGGUCGCCUGGCCGGCUGCACGACGGUACUCGCACGGUAUCGGGCCGCAACCAAUCCAUUUUCGAAUGUGUGUGCGUCGGGCCCGCCGCAAGCUCGGUCAGUAUACCCGGAGGUGCGGACCUAGCGCCGUCCCCGGGCCUGACCAGCUGUUAGCUGGCGGUGUCCUCGGACUGGCCAAGCUUCGAAUUACCGGUCGGCGACGCUAUUGCUUUGGGUACUCUCAGGACCCGUCUUGAAACACGGACCAAGGAGUCUAACAUGUGCGCGAGUCAUUGGGAUGCAUAAACCUAAAGGCGAAAUGAAAGUGAAGGUCGACCUUCGCGUCGACCUAGGGAGGAUGGGCCGCGUUACGAUGCGGCCUCGCACUCACGGGGCGUUUCGUUCUCAUUGCGAGAAGAGGCGCACCUAGAGCGUACACGUUGGGACCCGAAAGAUGGUGAACUAUGCCUGGUCAGGACGAAGUCAGGGGAAACCCUGAUGGAGGUCCGUAGCGAUUCUGACGUGCAAAUCGAUCGUCGGAACUGGGUAUAGGGGCGAAAGACUAAUCGAACCAUCUAGUAGCUGGUUCCCUCCGAAGUUUCCCUCAGGAUAGCUGGCACUCGCUCGUUCCUAUUGAACGCGUGCGAGUCUCAUCUGGUAAAGCGAAUGAUUAGAGGCCUUGGGGCCGAAACGACCUCAACCUAUUCUCAAACUUUAAAUGGGUGAGAUCUCUGGCUUGCUUGGAUUAUGAAGCCACGAGAUUUUGGAUCAGAGUGCCAAGUGGGCCAAUUUUGGUAAGCAGAACUGGCGCUGUGGGAUGAACCAAACGCAGAGUUAAGGCGCCUAAGUCGACGCUUAUGGGAUACCAUGAAAGGCG